CUGCGGUGAAUACAGCAGUUUAAGAAGUGAGAGAGGAAACGGAUGUGAGUGAGAGAGAGAAAGGAAACAGGAGAGAGAGAGAAAGAGAGGAAGUGGCCGAUUAACGAAGAUAGGAAGAAAGGAAAGGACAAGAUAAAAGAAGGAAAAUAAAUAACGAAGCAAGUAAAACAAAAAUAGACUGAAUACGAAGAAAAUAUAUGAAUCGUGUAUAAAGGAAAAUAGAAAACGAGGCAGAAUAAGAAAAGAAUAAAAGAAAACAAUUACCAAAAAACACGGCAAUAAGGAAAAUAAACCAGGUAAAGAAAUACUGGAAGGAAAAGAAGAGGAAAAAAACGUGAAUUAUCGAAAAAUAUAUCAAACAAAUAAAACGAGGAAAAGAAGAAGAAAAAAAGUAAGCCAUAAAAAAAAAUAAAUCAACCCAAAAUGAAAUAGAAGAAAAAAAAAGUGGAUUCCGGAUGAAAAUAAACGAGAAAUAAAUAAGAAAAAACAACAUCGUGAAGGAAAAGUAAAAAAAGAAAAAGAAAACAGAUAAAACAAACAAACAAAACAAACACAAACAGGAAAGACCCCCCAAAAAACAACGUGAAAAAACUAACCAAACAAAAAACGAAGAAAACAAAACAAAUUACCAAACAAGACAACAAGAAAAAUCAAAACAACGUGCGUAAGAAACUAACCAAAACCAAAACAAAACAAACAGAAAAACAAGAAAAUAAAAAUCAGUCUUAAGUAGGUAAACCAUGGCCUCCCUUCGCUCAAUCCGUGCUGGGCUAUCCAAAUCCUACCACUCCCUAAACACAAUGGGAGAAGGAGGAGGAGGGGAAGACGGAGGCGAAAGAGGAGGAGGAGGAGGAAGAAGAGAUGACACCAACGCCGGCUACUUCAACGCCACAACUUCAGACUGGCUUGACGUGGAUAACUUCAGGACAAAGAAUAACAACAGGAGUAACCCGUUAUCCGCCAUCAAGGAAGCGCUGGCGAAGGUUUCCAGAGGUCGCCAGAAUAAUUCCUCCACUAGGAUAUCCGGGAUCCUUCGGGAGCUGGAUGAUGAGUGGAGGAUCAGUGAGGAUGCGCCGGAAGGGGAUAGGUUCUUGGGGAGACUCCGGUUAUCUUCCUCCUCUUCUCCGUCCUCCUCCAAGAUGCCUUCGUCCAUAGCUGUGCCUCCGGAGCAAGCGUCCCUCCUCGGGACCAUGCCGGGUGAGGUGCUGGAGGACUCGGAGCUCCGCCACGUGCAGCUCUCAGUGGCCCCCUCGCGCAACCUGAGUGAGGACGGGUCGACGGGCAACAAGGUCACCGUUGACACCCCCCACGGCCCCAUCACCGCCUCCGUCGCUGGUGAUCCCUCGCGACCUGUUAUCCUGACCUACCAUGACCUAGGCUUGAACCAUGUGACGAAUUUCCAGGCCUUCUUCCUCUACCCGGAGAUGCGUAAUGUGGUCAACAACUUCUGCAUCGUCCAUGUCAACGCCCCGGGCCAGGAGGAAGGCGCCCCAACUCUGCCUGAAGGGUACGUCUACCCCACCCUGGAGGAGUUGGCGGACACCAUCACGUGCGUCAAGAACCACCUGCACCUCCGCUCCUUCAUCGGCUUUGGGGUCGGACUCGGCGCAAAUGUCCUCUCCCGCUAUGCCACCAAGUUCCCCAACUAUGUGGAUGCGCUGGUGCUGGUGAACUGCUCAUCCACGCAGGCCGGCUGGAUCGAGUGGGGCUACCAGAAGCUCAACAUCCGCCACCUCCGCUCCGGCACCAUGACAACUGGCACUGUGGAUUACCUCAUGUGGCACCACUUCGGCAAGCUGGAGGAGUGUAACCAGGACUUGGUGACUGUCUACCGCCAACACUUUGAGCGUGCCAUCAACCCCACCAACCUGGGCCUCCUCGUGGACGCUUACAUCCGCCGCAGCGACCUGGGCAUCGUCAGGGAGCUCGACCCCAACAAGAAGAAGGACGUGCGCAUGAUCAGGUGUCAGGUGCUCAACAUCACGGCCAACCUGUCGCCACACAUCGAGGACACCGUCACCUUCAAUGGACGCCUGGACCCCACACUGGCCACCUGGAUGAAGAUCCAGGACUGCGGCUUGGUCAUUGACGAAGCCCCCGGCAAGGUUGUGGAAGCCUUCAGACUGUUCCUGCAGGGUCAAGGCUAUGCAGUGAGUGGGUCGCGUCGGGCUUCCAGUGUGUCGAUCGGAGAAGGUAAAUCGUGUUGAGCCACACUCACUCCCCCUACAGCCCCAAAAAAUUAAUACCAUGCCAAGCUGCUUUGUCCGUGCACAGCCGGAGCGGAGUCGGGUCACGGCAGGGGUCGACCGCAUCCGUCACCUCAUCCACCGCCAGCCUUAGGGACGCCAAGGACAUCCACAUCACCGAGAACCCUUUACAGAACCCCACGGCCUGAGACUACCCUCAGCAGAACACCAAUACUAUCCUAACCACUACUACUGCUGCUUCUACGUCCGGUACCUCCGCGGCCUACCAACGCAAGAACAGCCACAACUACAGCUACAGCUCCUACUACCCGAGGAGUGAGAACUACUACUACUGUUGCUGCUGUUGUUUCGUGAUUGCGUCGUUCUUCCUCUCGCUCCCGCUCUCUCGUGUCUUCUCGCUCUGCCUGAUCUGUUUCCUGUGUCUCUUGUUCCUCUUGUGUUUCCUCCCGAUCAUCUCGCCGAAUCUGUUGUCGCCAUUUUCGUAGGUCUAUAUUUUUUUUUGGUCUUUUUUCCUUUUUCUUUUUUAGAUCGUCUUUUUUUAUUUUUCCUCUUCCUUAUUUUCACUUCUUUUGGUACUCAGAUUUUUUUUUCCUCUUCGUUUUUUUUCACUUUUUUUGGGGGUACUCAGAUUUUUGGUUUCCCCUUUUUUUGUUGUUUGUUUUUUCCUGUCUUAUAUUUAUUUGCAUUUUCUUUGUUUCUCUUUCUCCUUUUUUUUCUCAUGCCCAUUUCUUUUUUUUUUUUUUACUUUUUCUCCUUUUUAACUUUCUUUUCUGUCACAGGUUUCAUUUCCAAAUCAUCUGCUGGGUAUUUUUUUCUAUUUUUUCCUUUUUUUCCUUCAUUUCUUUCCCACGCCUCAGCCCUUAAACGUUUAUUGUAGAUAGUUUUAUCUUAUUUUUUAUCGCCAAGGUUAUCGCCACACAUUUAUUUUGUGUUUGUUCGCUCUUUUUAGAUUUUAUUGAAGAUUUUAUCCGCGUUUUAUUUGCCUUUGUUUUAGUUUUGUAAUUUUAGUUUUUGUUGUGUUCCUUUCCUUUUUUAUUUUUAGCUGUGAUAAAUCUUAUUGAUUUUAUUGCUCUCAUUCCGUUUUUUCCUUUUUCUUGUUAUUGCAAGUAGUCUCCUGUGGGGGGCGAGGGUUUAGCUGCCAUGCUAGAUUAUAGUAAAGAAUUUUAUUAUGUAUCAUUAUUAUAUUUUCAUCUAUGUAGCCUCCUUUUUUCAUCAUAUUUUUGCCAUAUUCAAGUCUAGUAGUAGUGUGUGUGUGUGUAUAUAUAUAUAUAUAUAUAUAUAUAUAUAUAUAUAUAUAUAUAUAUAUAUAUAUAUAUAUAUAUAUAUAUAUAUAUAUAUAUAUAUAUAUAUUAUUCUCCAUAUCAUCUGUUAACAUUUACUCUAAUAUAUUUUAGCAUUCUCAUUUUUUAGAGUGUUUUAUGUCAUUUUCUUUUUUCUUCUUUAGUCUCAACCUCAUUUUACUCUUUAGAAUAUUUAUUUUUCUUUCUUUUUCUUUUUUGCAUUUUAUUUUUUCCUGAGUUUGCCGUUGUGAAUUAAUGACCUAAGGUUGUAUUUCAUCCUCACUCAUUUGCACGCUAAGGAGCAAUGAGGCCCAGUCUUUUUUAUACACAUAUUUACUACACUAUUAUUAUUAAACCAUUAUAUUAUUGCCUUAUGUGUUAGUCUAAGUCUAUGCAGCAGAGUCUUAGUGUUAUACACCUAGAUGACAAUGUUUUUGAAUAUCUAUUGUUUUCCCCUUUU